GGAGGCCAUCAUGUAAGUGCUGAACUUAGUUCUCAUUUUCUCAGACAGAUGGCAGGCUGGUUUUAUGGCCUGGAAAAUCGAGUCGAUUGACAAAAUGGAGUCAGAUUUUUAAAACUGUCUCAUGUUUCUGGUGACUAUUUUAAACAAGGCCGUGUGCAGGGGCUCAUUUCCUCAUUGUAAGUCCUCCACUGCUGUGCAUUUUAAAAUAACAGGGUGAAUCUCACUAAUGUUGUCUGUUUUUAACUCCAAAUGACUAUAUGACUAUACUGUAAUACAAACAAGAACAGUGCAUUAUGGAAAUAUUUAAAGCAGUGGUUCUCAGUUCCUCUGCAUAAUUUCCAUGUCUCUCUUAUUUAACACAGCUGAUUCCGAUAACCAGCUUGUUUGAAGAGAGCUCCAUGCAGGAACUGUUUUCUGAUUGACAUGGUCCUUACACAGUGUUCAUUGCUCCCUUAAAGUUAUAAAAUACAUUGAUAAUCUUUGAGAGUAAGAAUUAAAAACAAAUGUCCCAAUGCAACAAAAAAAAGUGCAUGGAAAUGUAAAUUUAUUAUAUAUAUUUUUCAUUUUUUUUCUCGUUAUAAUGAGUGAAUCCAGAGAUAUUUAGUUUUUACUCACCAUGUGUUCCUGUUGUCUUUUAGUGGAGUCCUUGGCGCUGUCGCUAAUGGCAGGAUUUGAACAGUGUUAACAGAUUGAGCAUGCUUUCAAUCCAGAGCACUGAUCACAAAACAGAUUAUUUAUUGUACUACUGCAUUACGGUUGCUGUACUGUUCUUGUUUUUCUCUACCAGGAUAUCUGACAUCAUAGCACAUGAGAGAGACAAAACCCCAAUUGCACUUCAUUGGUACAGAAGUACCACUUUGUCUCUAAACAGUGAAACUUGUGUUGAAUUGUCUCUGUCUACAGCACAGCUGCUGCAUCAAGAUACUUAAUGUUUUGUGAAGUCUUUUUUUUGUUUUUCAGCAUUGUUGGCCUGUGUUAUGACUCAAUAUGCCAUAUGUAAAACGUAAGUGUCUUCUAUGUGCAGUGGAUAUGUGAAGCGCACGUGAAAAAAGCAAUUAAAUUUUAUCUAAUUACGUAUAUUACACACAACAGUGAAAAGAAAAACUUAAAGCUCAAAUUUAAGUACUGUACAUAAUAUUUGCUAACUUUGAAAAUUGUAGGCUACAUUUGUAUGCCGUUGAGCUUAUGUUGCUGAAUGGAUUGGAUAUUUUAAAUUAAAUUGCCCUUACUUUGAGAUAUAA